rfam:Lepisosteus oculatus linkage group LG2, whole genome shotgun sequence.
UUUUACAAGGCAUGUAAGUCGCUUUGGAUAAAAGCGCCUGCUAAAUGCUAAAUU